rnacentral:rRNA from 1 species
GUGCCAGCAGCCGCGGUAACACGUAGGAGACGAGCGUUAUCCGGAUUUACUGGGUGUAAAGCGCGUGCAGGCGGUCGGGUAAGUUGGAUGUGAAAGCUCCUGGCUUAACUGGGAGAGGUCGUUCAAAACUGCCGGGCUAGAGUGCAACAGAGGGGAGUGGAAUUCCGAGUGUAGCGGUAAAAUGCAUAGAUAUUCGGAAGAACACCAGUGGCGAAGGCGGCUCUCUGGGUUGCAACUGACGCUCAGACGCGAAAGCUAGGGUAGCGAACGGGAUUAGAAACCCCGGUAGUCC